GCUGAGCUGCAGACCACGCCCUUUUUUCCCUGGUUGUGGUGCUUAGCUGCAGUCAGCUAGUUAGUCACCAGGUGGGAGGGAUCUGGUAAUUAGGAGAUUUGGAGUCAUUCACAGGAUAGAAAGCAGGCUGGGAAGAUGUGUUGAGGAACUGGAAAAAAAAUGAGACUGCAGGACUAAAGCUUGUCUGAACGAGGAAGGAGUCGGUUUUUUACCUGCUUAUGGCUACGACAACUUUCAAAUAAAAGAAGGAAAAGAAAGAAUUGAUUCCUGGUCAUUGAGUAAAAUCCAGUCCAAACCUUCAGAGGCAAGCAUACCCUAUCAAGUGGGGGAAACUGCAGGGUUGAACUUCACUAAAGUGAAUGCACUUGACAG